rnacentral:rRNA from 1 species
AUUGAACGCUGGCGGUAUGCCUAACACAUGCAAGUCGAACGAGGUAGCAAUACCUAGUGGCGGACGGGUGAGGAAUACGUAGGGAUCUGCCCUUAAGUGGGGGAUAACCCGGGGAAACCCGGAUUAAUACCGCAUGAUCUCGCAAGAGCAAAGAGGGGGACCGCAAGGCCUCUCGCUUUUGGAGGAACCUACGUCGGAUUAGCUAGUUGGUGAGGUAAUGGCUCACCAAGGCGACGAUCCGUAACUGGUCUGAGAGGAUGAUCAGUCACACCGGAACUGAGACACGGUCCGGACUCCUACGGGAGGCAGCAGUGGGGAAUAUUGGACAAUGGGCGAAAGCCUGAUCCAGCAAUACCGCGUGUGUGAAGAAGGCCUUCGGGUUGUAAAGCACUUUAAGUUGGGAAGAAAAAGCUUCACCUAAUACGUGAAGCCUUGACGGUACCGACAGAAUAAGCACCGGCUAACUCUGUGCCAGCAGCCGCGGUAAUACAGAGGGUGCUAGCGUUAAUCGGAUUUACUGGGCGUAAAGCGUGCGUAGGCGGGUCUUUAAGUCAGGGGUGAAAUCCUGGAGCUCAACUCCAGAACUGCCUUUGAUACUGAAGAUCUUGAGUUCGGGAGAGGUGAGUGGAACUGCGAGU